ensembl:lncRNA
CAGCAUUUUAUUAAUCUUUCACUAAUCCAGAUUUCUAUCAACAGUGACAAAUGAAAUUAGAUGCGUGCAGGAGGGAUUCACAGGAUGUAUUUAGACAGCCCAGGCCCAUAUAUGUCUGCUCAAGGGUAAGCCCCAUUGAAUUAUUUGGGACUGAUUCCCAAAUAAUCAAGUAUGAUUGCAACCAGAAUCUGUUACUAAAUUCUGUACUGCUUAGGGAUGUAGAACCCUUGAGAAAAGAAAAGCAAUUUACAAGGUGGUAUCAUUUUUGUUGUGUCUGCCCUAAUAAUAAUAAUAAUAAUAAUAAUAAUAAUAAUAAUAAUAAUAAUAAUAUAAACUGGACACAGGCGGAACUGGACAAUUUGGACAGAAAAUCAAGAAAACUCAUGACCAUUCAUCAUUCACUGCACCCCCGCAGUGAUGUUGACCGGCUAUAUCUGCCUAGAAGAUCAGGGGGCAGAGGACUCUUACAAGUCAAACAAGCAGUCAAAGAAGAAGAACAUGUCCUGGCAGAAUAUGUAAAGCAAAGUGAAGAACCUGCUUUGAUUGAAGUCAAAAAUCAGAAACUCCUCAAAGCACAGCAGACAAAAAAUCAGUACAAGAAAACCACACUACAAACUAGAGCUGACAGCUGGCACAACAAAACAUUGCAUGGAAAGUUCCUUGACAAAAUUGAAGGAAAAGCUGAUAUGGAGAAGACCUGGCUAUGGCUCACGAAUGGGACAUUGAAGAAGGAGACUGAAGGCCUAAUCCUUACAGCUCAGGAGAAGGCCAUCAGAACAAAUGCAAUUAAGGCCAAGAUCGAAAAAUCAGCUGAUGACCCAAAAUGCAGACUGUGCAAGGAAACCGACGAAACCAUUGAUCAUCUCCUCAGCUGCUGUAAAAAAAUCGCACAGACAGACUACAAACAGAGGUACAACUAUGUGGCCCAAAUGAUUCAUUGGAACUUAUUCCUCAAGUGCCACCUCCCAGCAGCAAAGAACUGGUGGGAUCACAAACCUGCAAAAGUAUUGGAAAAUGAACACGCAAAGAUACUGUGGGACUUCCGAAUCCAGACUGACAAAGUUCUGGAACACAACACACCAGACAUCACGGUUGUGGAAAAUAAAAAGGUUUGGAUCAUUGAUGUUGCCAUCCCAGGUGACAGUCGCAUUGACGAAAAACAACAGGAAAAACUCAGCCGCUAUCAGGACCUCAAGAUUGAACUUCAAAGACUCUGGCAGAUCCCAGCAGGGUGGCCUUUUGCAGUUGGCAGAUCAUAAUUUUGUCAAUAUCUAUUGUUUCAAAAUGCUGGCUGAGAUCUUUUGGCAUGGCACCCAAUGUGCCGAUCACCACUGGGACCACCUGGACUGGUUCCUGCUAGAGUCUUUGAAGUUCAAUCUUGAGAUCCUGAUAGCGGCUGAGUUUUUCCUGUUGUUUUUCGUCAAUGCGACUGUCACCUGGGAUGGCGACAUCAAUGAUCCAAACCUUUUUCUUUUCCACAACUGUGAUGUCUGGUGUGUUGUGUUCCAGAACUUUGUCAGUCUGGAUCCGGAAGUCCCACAGUAUCUUUGCGUUCUCAUUUUCCAAUACUUUUGCAGGUUUGUGAUCCCACCAGUUCUUUACUGCUGGGAGGUGGUACUUGAGGCAUAAGUUCCAAUGAAUCAUUUGGGCCACAUAGUUGUGCCUCUGUUUGUAGUCUGUCUGUGCAAUUUUCUUACAGCAGCUGAGGAUAUGAUCAAUGGUUUCAUCGGUUUCCUUGCAGAGUCUGCAUUUUGGGUCAUCAGCUGAUUUUUCGAUCUUGGCCUUAAUUGCAUUUGUCCUGAUGGCUUGCAAGGAUUAUUAUUAUUAUUAUUAUUAUUAUUAUUAUUAUUAUUAUUAUUAUUAUUAUUAUUUAAAACAUUUAUAUUCCACCCUUCUCACCAUGAAGGGGACUCAGGGCAGAGCACAAUAUAUAUAUGGUAAGCAAUCCAUGCCGGGACAUAAAAUAAUUAUAAAUAUAUACAAACAUUAAAAUCAGUUACUUCUACUUUAAAAUCAGCUGUUUAAACCAGCUCAGGACACCAUGCUGGCUCUGGUCAGCAGAGUAGGUUUCCUAUUAUUGCCUCAUUGCACUGCCCCAUAGGCUUGGUCCCAUGGUCAGGUCUUUACCAUCUUUCUGAAGGACAGGGGCGAGGGGGGUGAUCUAAU